CGACCGCUGGCGGCGUGCUUAACACAUGCAAGUCGAACGGUGAAGGGGUCUGCUUUUGUGGGCCCUGGAUGAGUGGCGAACGGGUGAGUAACACGUGAGUAACCUGCCCCCUUCUUCUGGAUAACCGCAUGAAAGUGUGGCUAAUACGGGAUAUUCUGGGUCUGUCGCAUGAUGGGUCUGGGAAAGAUUGCGCCUUUGGGUGUUUUUGGUGGGGGAUGGGCUCGCGGCCUAUCAGCUUGUUGGUGGGGUGAUGGCCUACCAAGGCGGUGACGGGUAGCCGGCCUGAGAGGGUGGACGGUCACACUGGGACUGAGACACGGCCCAGACUCCUACGGGAGGCAGCAGUGGGGAAUAUUGCACAAUGGGCGCAAGCCUGAUGCAGCGACGCCGCGUGAGGGAUGGAGGCCUUCGGGUUGUAAACCUCUUUCGCCAGUGAAGCAGGCCUGCUCCUUGUGGGUGGGUUGACGGUAGCUGGAGAAGAAGCGCCGGCUAACUACGUG
rnacentral:rRNA from 1 species